rnacentral:rRNA from 1 species
AGUGAACGCUGGCGGUAGGCCUAACACAUGCAAGUCGAACGGCAGCACAGAGGAGCUUGCUCCUUGGGUGGCGAGUGGCGGACGGGUGAGGAAUACAUCGGAAUCUACUCUGUCGUGGGGGAUAACGUGGGGAAACUUACGCUAAUACCGCAUACGACCUAGGGGUGGAAGCAGGGGACCUUCGGGCCUUGCGCGAUUGAAUGAGCCGAUGUCGGAUUAGCUAGUUGGCGGGGUAAAGGCCCACCAAGGCGACGAUCCGUAGCUGGUCUGAGAGGAUGAUCAGCCACACUGGAACUGAGACACGGUCCAGACUCCGACGGGAGGCAGCAGUGGGGAAUAUUGGACAAUGGGCGCAAGCCUGAUCCAGCCAUACCGCGUGGGUGAAGAAGGCCUUCGGGUUGUAAAGCCCUUUUGUUGGGAAAGAAAUCCAGCUGGCUAAUACCCGGUUGGGAUGACGGUACCCAAAGAAUAAGCACCGGCUAACUUCGUGCCAGCCGCCGCCGUAA